GAUGAAGAACGUAGCGAAAUGCGAUACUUGGUGUGAAUUGCAGAAUCCCGUGAACCAUCGAGUCUUUGAACGCAAGUUGCGCCUCAAGCCAUUAGGUUGAGGGCACGUCUGCCUGGGCGUCACAUAUCGUUGCCUGAUGCCAGUUUCCUCGUGAUGGGUGACUGUGCAGGGCGAAUGAUGGCUUCCCGUGAGCAUUGUUGCCUCAUGGUUGGUUGAAAAUUGAGUCCUUGGUAGGGAGCGCCGUGAUAGAUGGUGGUUGAGUGACGAACGAGACCCAAUCAUGUGAGACCCCUACCGAAUUUGGCCUUCAUGACCCACAUGCGUCUUUGGAACGCUCAUGACGAGACCUCAGGUCAGGCGGGGCUACCCGCUGAGUUUAAUCAUAUCAAUAAGCGGAGGA
rnacentral:misc_RNA from 1 species